UGUGUUUUCCAAACAAUGGUGGCUGCGAACAACUUUGUCUGCCAACUCCACAAUAUACAGUUAUCUGUACAUGUGCGGAUGGAUUUGAAUUGAAACCUGAUGAAAAAACAUGUCUUUACAAAGGUUCUGGUAAAUGGGUGACCUUUGCUAAUCUCAACACCAUUGAACGAAUGGACCUUGAGACAAAUGUUACGGAAACAAUUGCUUCUAAAACAACCAAUGCUGUAGAUCUAGACAUUCAUUAUGAGAAGGGAUUCGUAUAUUGGUCUGAUGUACGUGCAAAGAAGAUAUCCAGGAGUACGGUGACAAGAACGUCUGUUUCUGGUUAUGUUGAAGACAUUAUUGUCGAAACAGUAGAUGUUCCCGAUGGGAUAGCUAUUGAUUGGAUCUAUAACCUUUUGUUCUGGACAGAUACGGGACAUAACCAUAUACAAGUGUCACGACUUGAUGGAACAGACAGAAAAACAAUCAUUAAAAAUGAUGGUAGUCUGGAAGAACCAAGGGCCAUUGUAGUUGAUCCAAA